rnacentral:sRNA from 1 species
AUUUUGCGUUAGGGGUUGCCGCGACAUCCUUUUACAGUCCGCUGAGGAUUCCGAAGCGAUUCUGUAAAAGAUACAGCAGAAAACCCGACCCCGA